GGCAUUGACGGGGGCCGCACAAGCGGAGGAACAUGUGGUUUAAUUCGAUAGAUACGCGAGGAACCUUACCUGGGCUAGAACGCAUUCGGAAUCAGGCCGAAAGGCCUGCGCCAGCGAUGGCCGCUUGCGAGGUGCUGCAUGGUUGUCGUCAGCUCGUGCCGUGAGGUGUCGGGUUAAGUCCCAUAACGAGCGCAACCCCUACUGCUAGUUGCCAGCGGGUCAUGCCGGGGACUCUAGCGGAACUGCCAGCGUAAGCUGCGAGGAAGGUGGGGAUGACGUCAAAUCAGCACGGCCCUUACGUCCAGGGCUACACACGUGUUACAAUGGCCGGUACAGAGGGCAGCCACCCCGCGAGGGGGCGCGAAUCCCGAAAGCCGGUCCCAGUUCGGAUCGGAGUCUGCAACCCGACUCCGUGAAGCUGGAUUCGCUAGUAAUCGCGCAUCAGCCACGGCGCGGUGAAUACGUUCCCGGGCCUU
rnacentral:rRNA from 1 species